GCCCGGUUAGUUCAGUUGGUUAGAACGCCACAUCUUAUAAAACUACGUGAUAAACGUGAAUCGUGGAAACGCGGGUUCAAUUCCUGCACUGGGCU
rnacentral:tRNA from 1 species